rnacentral:rRNA from 1 species
GUCGGCGACCGUCGCACGGGUGAGUAACGCGUAUCCAACCUACCCAUAACUAAGGGAUAACCCAGCGAAAGUUGGACUAAUACCUUAUGUAUUCGUUUGAUCUCAUGAGAUUACUAAUAAAGAUUUAUCGGUUAUGGAUGGGGAUGCGUCUGAUUAGCUUGUUGGCGGGGUAACGGCCCACCAAGGCAACGAUCAGUAGGGGUUCUGAGAGGAAGGUCCCCCACAUUGGAACUGAGACACGGUCCAAACUCCUACGGGAGGCAGCAGAC